GAUGAACGCUGGCGGCGUGCCUAAUACAUGCAAGUAGAACGCUGAAGGAGGAGCUUGCUCUUCUGGAUGAGUUGCGAACGGGUGAGUAACGCGUAGGUAACCUGCCUGGUAGCGGGGGAUAACUAUUGGAAACGAUAGCUAAUACCGCAUGACAACAGUUAUUGCAUGAUAACUGUUUAAAAGGGGCAACUGCUCCACUACCAGAUGCACCUGCGUUGUAUUAGCUAGUUGGUGAGGUAACGGCUCACCAAGGCGACGAUACAUAGCCGACCUGAGAGGGUGAUCGGCCACACUGGGAGUGAGACACGGCACAGACUGCUACGGGAGGCAGCAGGAGGGAAUCGGCGGCAAUGGACGGAAGUCUGACCGAGAAACGCCGCGUGAGUGAAGAAGGUUUUCGGAUCGGAAAGCUCUGUUGUAAGAGAAGAACGAGUGUGAGGGUGGAAAGUUCACACUGUGACGGUAUCUUACCAGAAAGGGACGGCUAACUACGUG
rnacentral:rRNA from 1 species